rnacentral:rRNA from 1 species
GUGGGGAAUAUUGCACAAUGGGCGAAAGCCUGAUGCAGCAACGCCGCGUGAAGGAAGAAGGGUUUCGGCUCGUAAACUUCUAUCAACAGGGACGAAAGAAAUGACGGUACCUGAAUAAGAAGCCCCGGCUAACUACGUGCCAGCAGCCGCGGUAAUACGUAGGGGGCAAGCGUUAUCCGGAAUUACUGGGUGUAAAGGGUGAGUAGGCGGCAUGGUAAGCCAGAUGUGAAAGCCUUGGGCUUAACCCGAGGAUUGCAUUUGGAACUAUCAAGCUAGAGUACAGGAGAGGAAAGCGGAAUUCCUAGUGUAGCGGUGAAAUGCGUAGAUAUUAGGAAGAACACCAGUGGCGAAGGCGGCUUUCUGGACUGAAACUGACGCUGAGGCACGAAAGCGUGGGGAGCGAACAGG